UACGUAGGGUGCAAGCGUUAAUCGGAAUUACUGGGCGCAAAGCGUGCGCAGGCGGUUAUGCAAGACAGAAGGGAAAUCCCCGGGCUCAACCUGGGAACUGCAUUUGUGACUGCAUGGCUAGAGUACGGUAGAGGGGGAUGGAAUUCCGCGUGUACCAGCGAAAUGCGUAGAUAUGCGGAGGAACACCGAUGGCGAAGGCAAUCCCCUGGACCUGUACUGACACUCAUGCACGAAAGCGUGGGGAGCAAACAGG
rnacentral:rRNA from 1 species